rnacentral:rRNA from 1 species
AUUGAACGCUGGCGGCAGGCUUAACACAUGCAAGUCGAACGAGUGGCGGACGGGUGAGUAAUGAAUGGGAAUAUAGCUAAUGGAGGGGGAUAACUACGGGAAAAAGUAGCUAAUACCGCGUACCAUAGGAGGAGCCCAAAGUGGAUUAGGUAGUUGGUGAGGUAAAGGCUCACCAAGCCGACGAUCCCUAGCUGGUCUGAGAGGACGACCAGACACACUGUGACUGAGACACGGCCCAGCUUCCUACGGGAGGCAGCAGUGGGGAAUAUUGCGCAAUGGGGGCAACCUGACGCAGCCAUGCCGCGUGUAUGAAGAAGUCCUUCGGGUUGUAAAGUACUUUCGGUAGCGAGGCGUUAACUACAGAAGAAGCACCGGCUAACUCCGUGCCAGCAGCCGCGGUAAUUC